rnacentral:rRNA from 1 species
CCUACGGGUGGCAGCAGUGGGGAAUAUUGGGCAAUGGGCGAAAGCCUGACCCAGCAACGCCGCGUGAAGGAAGAAGGAUUUCGGGAUGUAAACCUCUUUUCUGAGGGACGAAGAAAGUGACGGUACAUCAGGAAUAAGCACCUUCUAACUACGUGCCAGCAGCCGCGGUAAUACGUAGGUGGCAAGCAUUAGCCGGAUUUGUUUGGGGUAAAGUGCGCGUAGGCGGGAAAGCAAGUCAGAUGUGAAAACUCAGGGAUCAACACUGGGCCUGUAUUUGACACUGUGUAUCUUGAGUGCUGGGGAGGUAAGCGGAAUUCCGGGUGUAGCGGUGAAAUGCGUAGAUAUAAGGAGGAACACCAGUGGCGAAGGCGGAUUGCUGGACAGUAACUGACGCUGAGGCUCGAAAGCGUGGGGAGCAAACAGGAUUAGAUACCCCGGUAGUC